GUCAGUGAGUCAGCUGAAGACGCCUCUUAAGUGUCCCAUGGCUCCUCCACUUGCCCUGUCUCACCUACAGGCCUGAGAACAGCUGUUCAGGAUGAUACUUGAGCUGCCGCCUAUCUGUCCAAACCAACCCAACGAACAGAAGCCCCGCGGGGAGGAAGAGACACUCCAAUUUACACUCCCGUCCCCUUUUUUUCCUCCAACCUCUGGAAUUAACUUUAAGGCAGUGAGAAAUAUGUAAAAGAUAAAAGAGCAAAAACUGGUUUAUGAUGCGCUGUCAGAAGACAUCACGUCAACACCAUUGUGACUGCGCUAUCACUGCUGGUUGAGGGACAUCUUUUCAAAGUUGGUAAGCAUUUCAGAGCCCCUCUCCGUCUGAAUUCUCCUUUGCACUGUAAUAUUGUCACAGACCUUAAAGGUAGGUUUCUUUAUUCUAAGCUUUUGAUGUG